GGAGUUUGGAAACUAAUGUUCCUGUGCUAACCUUCGUGUCUCUGUGACAUGACUGUUGAAAGACGGAGAGUGCGGAAUCUUUGGAGUUUAAGCUUGCCAACUGUGCGGCCUAGCAGAAUCCUGGGAGACGGAAGGACAGCCAAGAGGCUAGGAUUUACCUUUAAGUGUCCCUAGAUUCAACUAGGCAGACUGGGACGGGAGACGCUGUGAAGGUACCAGGGAAGGAACGAGUGAGGUUCCUUUUCCACUUUUUCAUAAACUCAACAGUCAGGUUCAUGACGAAGAUAUACAUAUUUCUGUAGAUUUUUUCCCCAACAUUCUAAUUAUGCCUCAUGUUUCGUAGAUCCUAGUAACUGUUUGGAUUACUGCCACCUCAGAGGGGCGUCUGGGCAUGGCUUUCCCAACCUAGUAACUGCAACUUCUAGCAUCCUACAUGUAGGACUUGGGAAUAUGUGAGACAGCGCCAAGAAUUUAAUCCAGGAGAAUUGACAAGCUUAAAUGAAAUCCAUAUUGCCCACUGAUUUUGUGCAGCUUCAGAUAAGUAAUCUUUCUCCACUUAGCCUUUUGUAACAAUUGAUGUAAUAAAGGUUUGUAGUCUUUGCGUAAUUUAUUAAAGCAUUGUGCCUAAAAUAGAAAAAAAGCAUAGGAACCAUAGGCUGUGUUUUCUUUUGAUUUAAUAUUUUCAUUUCUUCAGUUAAUAGAAAUUUGUCAAAAUUC
rnacentral:antisense_RNA from 1 species